CAUUUUCAUUCUGGAAAACCAGCAAAUGAAAUGUACACCUCACAUCCGGAUUGGGCACCAUCACUACACUUGGGCCACACUGAGAUAAAGGCCACACAGACUGCACGCUAUGAGAGACAGGAAAAGAGAAAACGGCAAAGGACUGACAGUACACCUGCGAGGAUGAGACAGCUAUUGAUGACCUUGUUCCGCCCGUGGAGACACCAGCACCAGCUGAGGAUGGAGCUGAGCAGACACCGCUGACAGAAUGUGACUUCUGUCAGCGCCGGCGUGCUGAAAUCAACCGGCUGCUGGAGGAGAACAGGACCCUGAAAUGUCUUGCACUCUCAGCGCAUUAAUGAGACUCCCCUGAAGCCAUGGGUCAUCAUUGCUGACGAUGGGCAGGUUUGCUGUGCACACUGUACAUGCAUGGCUGGAAUUGCAGAGGCAUGUACACAUGUUGGGGCUCUGCUGUUUAAGAUUGAGGCAGCAGUCCGCAUCCGUGGGAAAAAGACUGUGACAGAUGUGCCAGCUUAUUGGAAAAUACCAGCAGGUAUCAACAAAGUCAGCGGUGAAGUCGCCCACAAGAUGGACUUCACUUCAUCCAAAGCGCAGAGGAUUGCUCUGGACAGAGUCAUCGAUGACAACAUUCCCAUGCCUGGCCUACGGACACGGGCCAGCAGACGCACUGCCCAAGCCACAUUGGACGACUUAUCGUCAAUGUUCCCUGUUCUUCAGAACCAUAGGUCAGUUUGUAUGUCCACAGUGAAGCCCUACUUUCACAACUAUGCUGCUCCUGUCCAGCCAGCUGUGAUCCCAAAACCCCUGCAAGACCGUCUGCGCGACCCAAAGUUUGAAAAUGCUCCACCAGCUGUCCUUCUCCAGCACUGUGAGACAGUGAAAGACAUUGCAGCUGCAUAUUAUUGCACGUCGUUAUAUUACAAUACAAUUAUAGAUUAUAUUAUUGUAUAUCAUGACAUAUUGCAUCGCAGCCUUUAUUUAUACAAUUUAAGAAAUGCAUAUUGUUAAAAGUAAUUAUAUAAGACAUUGCACUAACAUUGUUUUUUAAUGUGUACUAUAGUACCGGUAAUAAUUUGCACUACUUCAAAUGUUAUUGAUAUCUGUUAUUACUUAAUUUGAUCUACCUCCAAUUUUUAUGUUUGUAAUUGAUGUUUCAUAAAUACGUAUUUUUUAUUACUUUGGAAUUUUUUUUAUACAUAGACAUUUUUUAUAAAAAGCAUAGUAUUUUGUAUUAUUACAUUGUAUUGUUAUAUUUGCAUAUUAUUGCACGUUGUUAUAUUAUACAAUUAUAGAUUAUAUUAUUGUAUAUCAUGACAUAUUGCAUCGCAGCCUUUAUUUAUACAAUUUAAGUAAUGCAUAUUAUUAUAAAUACUUAUAUAAGAAUUUGCACUAACAGUGUUUAACUGUUAAUGUUUACUAUAACUACAAUUUGUAUAAUAAUAAUUUGCAAUAUCUCCACUUUCCAUUUCUCCAUUGAUGUUUCAUUAAGACCGACUUAUUAAUAGGAUUGAACAUUUUGUAUAAAUACAUACUAUGUUAUUGUAAGUAAUUGCACUGCAUUUUCAUCGCGUCCAUUUUUUAUUUGUAACCAUUUACCUACAAGCAUUCAAAC